rnacentral:rRNA from 1 species
UACGGGGGGGGCAAGCGUUGUUCGGAAUUACUGGGCGUAAAGGGCUCGUAGGCGGCCAACUAAGUCAGACGUGAAAUCCCUCGGCUUAACCGGGGAACUGCGUCUGAUACUGGAUGGCUUGAGUUCGGGAGAGGGAUGCGGAAUUCCAGGUGUAGCGGUGAAAUGCGUAGAUAUCUGGAGGAACACCGGUGGCGAAGGCGGCAUCCUGGACCGACACUGACGCUGAGGAGCGAAGCCAGGGGAGCAACGGAUAGAUGACC